CCUACGGGGUGCAGCAGUGAGGUAUAUUGGUCAAUGGUCGGGAGACUGAACCAGCCAAGCCGCGUGAGGGAUGAAGGUACAGAGUAUCGUAAACCUCUUUUGUCAGGGAACAAAGGCGGGGACGUGUCCCCGGAUGAGUGUACCUGAAGAAAAAGCAUCGGCUAACUCCGUGCCAGCAGCCGCGGUAAUACGGAGGAUGCGAGCGUUAUCCGGAUUUAUUGGGUUUAAGGGGUGCGCAGGCGGUCUGUUAAGUCGGCGGGAAAAGCCCGGGGCUCAACCCCGGCCCGCCGUUGAAACUGGCAGUCUCGAGUUGGAGAGAAGUAUGCGGAAUGCGCGGUGUAGCGGUGAAAUGCAUAGAUAUCGCGCAGAACUCCGAUUGCGAAGGCAGCAUGCCGGCUCCACACUGACGCUGAGGCACGAAAGCGUGGGUAUCGAACAGGAUUAGAUACCCCUGUAGUC
rnacentral:rRNA from 1 species